UUAUUGGUCCUUAGCUGUAAGACUCUAGUGUUUACUGUCGGCUUUAUGUCUUUCCUUAAGAAUCUAAAUGCAUUUUGUUGGAUUAAAUGUGUUUUGAUGGGAUUAAUGUGAGCUGGCAGCAGCAGGCCUCCACCACGUGUCUCAUUGCGCAUGUAGAAAAUGCUAAUUAGCCAACGAGCUAAUCUUAACUAUUACUUUUGAGUGAGCUUUACCAUCUCACUGCAGCUCUUCCCCAUGACUGUGAUGAAGUAAAUGUUGGUAGGGACAUCUGAAUACUGUGAAGAAACGCCAACUCCUCUGAUUUCAUGGGGAAACUGCUUUAAAGUUAUUAGCGUUUAAGUUAUCUGCACAGCUCCAGUGCUGUUAGCUGCUGGGUGUGUGCGCCAUUUAAUGUGAUUCAAUAGUUCAAACUAACUAAAGAGAAGUUGCAUCCUUUUAAAACUAGUUUGCUCAAGUUUAAAAUUUAUAUUUCUGAUUGUUGUUUGCAGGCCCGAGGACUGGAUCUCAGCAAAAUGGAGGCUGACAUUAGAUGGUUGGAAAGGAUGACUCGAUGUUUUGAACAUCAUCAAAUACUACACUGGUCUGGAAAAAAUCCAGAGACAUGAGGCAGUCGGAUGGCGCUGAGAGGUGCACUUCAGUUGCCAGACUUUUGAACAACACUAGAGCAGAUGGUGCUCACGUUCGUUGAUCUGGUUCAGAUGAUUGGAUCAGUUACAGGUGAGUUGACUUUUGUGCUUUAAACAUCUUUAACAUGGUCUGAUACAAUGAUGAUCCCAUAGUUCAGCGGAUUAAACCAUGAAGAAUAUUUGCUUGUCUUUCGCUCCUAGCUGAUGUGUCAACUAUAACUAUCUUUUAGCCUUCAAGUGUUUAAAGCGGUAUGAUGACAAAUGUCUUCUCAUCCACAGACAUGAAACCUUGCUGUCAAGAACUAUCACAUUGUGCUGGGAUUGUGGUGGUCAGAGCACAAGAUGUCACACUAGCAUGGUGAUGCCUGUUCACUUGGCUGCUGGUUUAGAAGGAAGAUACAAGAUCAACUGAGGAAGGAGCCUGAUCUCACACACUGAUCUUGGAUGCAGCUGUGAAGCCCUCUGGCCCUGAGAGGAAGCCUGACCUUAAAGUCAAGUGAUGUGCUGUUUGGAAGCAGACCUGAGAGCCUGUGGACAACCCAAGAAGAACAGUGUCAAUAUUGUACAACAUUGUCAAUAAAUACUGAAAAGAAA